GCUUCUGACUUGCUGCUGCAUGAACAUUCACACAGACUGGAUACCCUGGAGAAUCUGCUUCUAUAUCCCUUCCCUUUGAAAGCUACUAUGGGUGACAGUUUCUGAGGAGCAGGGCAAAGGAAUUAAACACAGCAGGCCACUUCCUUUAUUCCUGGCUCCAACCUGCAGGUGCUGUAGAGAAACACAACAAGCACUCUGUCCCUCCCAUCUCCUCCUCCAAAAGCUUUUAGCUGGCAGUAAGCUUGGGAUAAAACCCCAAGUGUGAGUGACAGAGGCCAAGCAGUGCAAAAAGUCAGAGGCUGGGAAGUAAACCCACUGAUUAAAGAUGGAUUUCAGAGAAGUGGAGAGGAAGGCAGAGUGAGCACAUAGAGGAGGAAGAGAACUGAAAACCCAUAGCAGGAGCUGGGCAGAAUAGCC